AUACGUAGGGGGCGAGCGUUGUCCGGAAUGACUGGGCGUAAAGGGCGCGUAGGCGGCGGUGUAAGUCUGGAGUGAAAGUCCCGCAUUCAAUGUGGGAAUUGCUUUGGAUACUGCAGUGCUAGAGUGCGGAAGAGGUAAGUGGAAUUCCCAGUGUAGCGGUGAAAUGCGUAGAGAUUGGGAGGAACACCAGUGGCGAAGGCGACUUACUGGGCCGUAACUGACGCUGAGGCGCGAAAGCGUGGGGAGCGAACAGGAUUAGAUACCCUGGUAGUCCACGCGGUAAACGAUGAAUGCUAGGUGUUGCGGGUAUCGACCCCUGCAGUGCCGGAGUAAACACAAUAAGCAUUCCGCCUGGGGAGUACGGCCGCAAGGUUGAAACUCAAAUGAAUUGGCGGGG
rnacentral:rRNA from 1 species